rnacentral:lncRNA from 1 species
UGGGCACGGUUCCUUUAAAUAAGAAACAUUUUUCUGUUCAAGUGAGUCACCUCGGUUUUCCAGCUUUCAAAAUCAAGUUUAUUUUCUAGUUCUUUCUGUUCAGGAAUUUUCUUUCUCUCUUCCUGAAGACCAGAGUUUGCCCUUCUACUGGAAGGCAAUGGUUUCACAGGUUCUCUUUCUUUUAUCUCAAGAUUUUUUUAAGCCCUGCUGAAUUUGGUAGCAAAUUCUGAACAUAGAGAGGAGAGAACCAGGAAGUGAGUCUUCCAGGGGCAGGCAUAAAAGCCUGGUGGAGGCAUCGAAAGUAAAAGUAAACUUCUUCCUGGAGGCGUUUCCAACCCCACUUCUUGUCUCCCCCUCCCGCUUGUCUCAUUUCCAGGGAUUUUUCUCCAGCUUGGUUGUAAGAACCAGCCUCAGCAAUCCGACGUGUGAAGUUAGGCAGUGUGGGGUCUUGUCGUUGGGAGUUUGGUGGCUGGGAUGUUGCCAGGACUGUGUGGAGCAGGUUCCAGUCCAUGGUGAGGGCCCUGGGAUUUUAUUUUUCCUUUGGUGAGUUUGGCUGGGCCUUUUGGGAGGAAACACUAUGAUUCUAGAGUUUUCUAGACCUAGACUGCUGAGGGUGAGAUCUGGUGGUCUUGGGGUCAUGGAGGUGAUCUUGUACGCGAAUGUAGAUGGGGGAAACCAUGAGAGUUUCUGUGGGGGUCAGUAGACCCUCUGAACCAUACUGAGGGCCCCAUAGUUUCCAGAACUCAAGAUCACUCAGGAGUGCUCAGUGAGUAUUAUUGAAGGAAAUCACUGACGUCUUAAUAAUGAACCCAUAAAAAUCUGUACAUUUCUGA